rnacentral:rRNA from 1 species
CCUACGGGUGGCAGCAGUGAGGAAUAUUGGUCAAUGGACGAGAGUCUGAACCAGCCAAGUAGCGUGAAGGAUGACUGCCCUAUGGGUUGUAAACUUCUUUUAUAUGGGAAUAAAACGUUCCACGUGUGGGAUUUUGUAUGUACCAUAUGAAUAAGGAUCGGCUAACUCCGUGCCAGCAGCCGCGGUAAUACGGAGGAUCCGAGCGUUAUCCGGAUUUAUUGGGUUUAAAGGGAGCGUAGGUGGAUUGUUAAGUCAGUUGUGAAAGUUUGCGGCUCAACCGUAAAAUUGCAGUUGAAACUGGCAGUCUUGAGUACAGUAGAGGUGGGCGGAAUGCGUGGUGUAGCGGUGAAAUGCUUAGAUAUCACGAAGAACUCCGAUUGCGAAGGCAGUUCACUGGACUGCAACUGACACUGAGGCUCGAAAGUGUGGGUAUCAAACAGGAUUAGAUACCCCUGUGGUC